GAACGCUGGCGGCGUGCCUAAUACAUGCAAGUAGAACGCUGAAGCUUGGUGCUUGCACCGAGCGGAUGAGUUGCGAACGGGUGAGUAACGCGUAGGUAACCUGCCUCUUAGCGGGGGAUAACUAUUGGAAACGAUAGCUAAUACCGCAUAAAAGUCGAUAUCGCAUGAUGUUGACUUGAAAGGUGCAAUUGCAUCACUAAGAGAUGGACCUGCGUUGUAUUAGCUAGUUGGUGAGGUAACGGCUCACCAAGGCAACGAUACAUAGCCGACCUGAGAGGGUGAUCGGCCACACUGGGACUGAGACACGGCCCAGACUCCUACGGGAGGCAGCAGUAGGGAAUCUUCGGCAAUGGGGGCAACCCUGACCGAGCAAGACCGCGUGGGGGAAGAAGGCUCUUGGGGUUGUAAACACCUU
rnacentral:rRNA from 1 species